rnacentral:rRNA from 1 species
GACGAACACUGGCGGCGUGCCUAACACAUGCAAGUCGAACGGAACUGUUUUGAAAGAUUUCUUCGGAAUGAAUUUGAUUUAGUUUAGUGGCGGACGGGUGAGUAACGCGUGAGUAACCUGCCUUCAAGAGGGGGAUAACAUUCUGAAAAGAAUGCUAAUACCGCAUGAUAUAUCGGAACCACAUGGUUUUGAUAUCAAAGAUUUUAUCGCUUGAAGAUGGACUCGCGUCCGAUUAGUUAGUUGGUGAGGUAACGGCUCACCAAGACCGCGAUCGGUAGCCGGACUGAGAGGUUGAACGGCCACAUUGGGACUGAGACACGGCCCAGACUCCUACGGGAGGCAGCAGUGGGGGAUAUUGCGCAAUGGGGGCAACCCUGACGCAGCAACGCCGCGUGAAGGAUGAAGGUUUUCGGAUUGUAAACUUCUUUUAUUAAGGACGAAAAAUGACGGUACUUAAUGA